CAGUUCCGGCAGCAGCAGUGCCUUGUGGGUAAUCUGAGAAAACCCCGGGGGAGAUUCAAACUCAACGGUCACUUUCAGUGACCGCUUGCUUGAGUGUGCGUCCCUUUCUAUCGUCCCGCUGGCUGUCCAUAUAUAUCCGCUGCAUAUAAGUUCAGCAACCACGGCAUUGAUUGUCAAAGUCUAGGAUACUGACCGUACACCGACUGGACGCUAUGAGGUAUCAGUGGCCGAGACAAAGACGAGAGACGUACCGGGGACAUCGCCCUAUACGUCGCCCGGCGAGGGCACGAAGCCGCCAGGCAUGUCAUGACACGUUGCAGACUCGCCUGACGAACAGUUCAACUGGACCAUAAACCGACUGCAUAAGACUGUUGACGCGCAUAUAGAAGUCAGAAGCGACUGAUUGAACGUGGUAAGACUGUCUUCAGCGCAGACUUCUACAAAGACCAUCCUGAUGUGGGACUAGGAGACAGAUGAUGGCUGUAACAACACAUAGACUGUGAGACGAUCAUCCUGGCGAAGCAAGACGUGAUAGUUCUAGUUCUACCUGUUUAGCAUUGCAAAUAUUCAUUUUACAUAUGGUACAUGUAUUCGUAUAGUUAGUUCUCUCUUUUUUGUCGCUUUACACCGUGAGUAUGUGCGGAGUUUUAAUAAAGGCUUUCAGGCUAAAUCUA